GUGAAAGGUGGCUGGUGCUCCUCGCGGUCUUCAAAACCGUUGUCGGUUCGUGAACGGGCCGAGGUAGGUUCGAUUCCUACCCUCUC
rnacentral:tRNA from 1 species